UACGUAGGGGACCAGCGUUGUCCGGAUUUACUGGGCGUAAAGAGCGCGCAGGCGGUCGUUCAAGUCGAGUGUGAAAGCCCCCGGCUCAACUGGGGAGGGUCAUUCGAUACUGAUCGACUGGAAGGCAGGAGAGGGAAGCGGAAUUCCCGGUGUAGUGGUGAAAUGCGUAGAUAUCGGGAGGAACACCAGUGGCGAAGGCGGCUUCCUGGCCUGUUCUUGACGCUGAGGCGCGAAAGCUAGGGGAGCAAACGGG
rnacentral:rRNA from 1 species